rnacentral:snoRNA from 1 species
AACCCAUGAUUUGAGCAUUUUCUCAGCAUCACUUUGAACCUCUCCCAUGUUUCACAGAAAACUUCAUUUGACCCUAGUCUGAACAUAGAAAUAUCAAACUUUGCUU